AGCGAACGCUGGCGGCAGGCUUAACACAUGCAAGUCGAGCGGGCACCUUUCGGGGUGUCAGCGGCGGACGGGUGAGUAACGCGUGGGAACGUGCCCUCUGGUUCGGAAUGACUCAGGGAAACUUGAGCUAAUACCGGAUACGCCCUUUUGGGGAAAGGCUUGCUGCCGGAGGAUCGGCCCGCGUCUGAUUAGCUAGUUGGUGAGGUAACGGCUCACCAAGGCGACGAUCAGUAGCUGGUCUGAGAGGAUGAUCAGCCACACUGGGACUGAGACACGGCCCAGACUCCUACGGGAGGCAGCAGUGGGGAAUAUUGGACAAUGGGCGCAAGCCUGAUCCAGCCAUGCCGCGUGAGUGAUGAAGGCCUUAGGGUUGUAAAGCUCUUUUAUCCGGGACGAUAAUGACGGUACCGGAGGAAUAAGCCCCGGCUAACUUCGUG
rnacentral:rRNA from 1 species